CAAUGGCCACAUUCACAUCACAUCGACUUGAUGGUUGUAUGCAAAAUCAUCCGAUCGCAUAGUCAGUUGCAGGAGAUAUACUUAGUUUUCUUUUUUAUCAUUGGUUGGUUCCUUGAUGUUGUGACGUCCUAACGGAAACCUUCGGACAAUUCUAAAGUUGAAACGUUAAUCGAUGUAAUAUAUGGAUUUUACAAAGAGGAAAUUAGUUAAUUAAUGGAUUUAGAUAUAACGAUAUAAUAAUUCGAUAUACCUACGGCUUACGAUGCCUGAACGUUGUGUUGAUUGCAAAAUCAGCGACCCGAAUCCGAGCGGUUCUUCGUGAAACUGCAAGCAACCGAAGAGCCACAUUGCUGAUUUCGGGAUGCGGAAAUUGCUGAAGUGACUGGUGAAACCGACCCCCCUUAAUCCAACCUAUUAUAAAUAGUACGAAAUUACUGUGAAAACCGUUUUACAGUCCGUUCCCGUAAUAGUGCCACUCACAAUAGUGCCGCUUCCCCUUAUUCUCGCUCGAACGUAACCCCCACCACGGGCUCACUUCGGGUUUCAUAUUCGUCUCUCUCACAGUGCCAAACGCUGGCUCAAUGAAAUAGCGUAUAAUUAUCUGCUUUAAAUUCAAUUUAUUGUCAUUAUUUUUUUAAUAAUAUUAUUUCAUCACAAAAUUCAUAAAAUAGCAACAGUAUCAUUAAAAAAAAGUGUCAUCAAUUUCGAUUACCAUCAUUCAAAUAAUAAUUGAUUUUAUUCAAAGAAAUAGAGAUUAUAUACAUUUGAUGAUUUUACUAUAUCAAUGUGUAUUUUUAACACAUUUUGUGGAAUAAAUUGGGAUACGUGUGAAAAGUUUUCUUAGAAUAAAGAAAUUUAGAAAAAGAAAUUGAAAUUAGAAAAUCGAAAUAAUCCAUUUUCAUAUGAUAAGGAAAAACGAAUAUGAU